rnacentral:rRNA from 1 species
GGCACCCUACGGGGGGCAGCAGUGGGGAAUAUUGCACAAUGGGGGAAACCCUGAUGCAGCGACGCCGCGUGAGUGAAGAAGUAUUUCGGUAUGUAAAGCUCUAUCAGCAGGGAAGAUAAUGACGGUACCUGAGUAAGAAGCCCCGGCUAACUACGUGCCAGCAGCCGCGGUAAUACGUAGGGGGCAAGCGUUAUCCGGAUUUACUGGGUGUAAAGGGAGCGUAGACGGCUGUGCAAGUCUGAAGUGAAAUGCCGGGGCUCAACCCCGGAACUGCUUUGGAAACUGUACAG